GCUCCCAUGGCGUAGUGGUCACUGCGCUCGCCUUGCACGCGGGAGACCUGGAUUCGAUUCCCGGCGGGGUCU
rnacentral:tRNA from 1 species